UAAUUCCACUGGGGGGGCCGAUGAGGCUGAGAACCCUUGUCAUUACGCAAGUGGAAACAAGCCAAUGGUGAGUUGGUGAGUAGUUCUUUUGAUCAAUUAAUCAAUGGUUUGAUUCUCUGGUGAUGAAGCAAGGGUAACCCUUUGAACCUGAACUGGAUAAUGCCAGCGAAGGGAAGUGGGAGUGUAAGCCG
rnacentral:ncRNA from 4 species